rnacentral:lncRNA from 1 species
ACAAAUCCGAUAAGACUGAGGUAAGAAAAUUUUAUGCGCCCAAGGCGGAUAAGAGGAACAAGAAAAUGGUUCCGACCAGCAGUACUUGAUCAGUACAGGGCAUAACAGGCUAAUCACCCACUAUGUCCAUAAGUUAUGACGGUUUGUGGAUGAAUUUCCAUAAAACAUUUGUGAAAAUGACAGACAAUAGUCUAUAUGACUCCUCAGCACAAUUUAAAAAUUUUUACUCUUGUGAGUGGUGUAUUGGGUAGUAUGUGAUGAUGUGUAUGAAUGGUGUAAGCAGUAUGGUGUAUGGUGUAAGGUGUAAGCUGAAU